rnacentral:rRNA from 1 species
UACAGAGGGUGCAAGCGUUGUUCGGAAUUAUUGGGCGUAAAGGGAGUGUAGGCGGUUUGUUAAGUCUUCUGUGAAAUCUACGGGCUUAGCCUGUAACGUGCAGAGGAAACUGACAGGCUUGAGUGUCGGAGAGGAUAGGGGAAUACCCAGUGUAGAGGUGAAAUUCGUAGAGAUUGAGUGGAACACCAGUGGCGAAGGCGCCUAUCUGGCUGACAACUGACGCUGAGACUCGAAAGCAUGGGGGAGCAAACAGG